rnacentral:snoRNA from 1 species
GACCUUCCAGAAAUGUGUCUGGAGAGUGUUUUGUAUUCUGACAGCUUCAGGUUCUGGAGGAAAUUCAAGCUUGCCAGAAGCUUCCAUUCCAAUCACAGAUGACUGUGUACCUGGUGAUUGGGAGACACUUGCUCCAACC